rnacentral:rRNA from 1 species
UACGGGGGGGGCAAGCGUUGUUCGGAAUUACUGGGCGUAAAGGGUGCGUAGGCGGCGCGGUAAGUCGGGUGUGAAAUUUCGAGGCUUAACUUCGAAACUGCAUUCGAUACUGCCGUGCUUGAGGACUGGAGAGGAGACUGGAAUUUACGGUGUAGCGGUGAAAUGCGUAGAUAUCGUAAGGAAGACCAGUGGCGAAGGCGGGUCUCUGGACAGUUCCUGACGCUGAGGCACGAAGGCCAGGGCAGCAAACGGG